ACGGGAGGCAGCAGUGAGGAAUAUUGCACAAUGGGGGAAACCCUGAUGCAGCGACGCCGCGUGAGUGAAGAAGUAUUUCGGUAUGUAAAGCUCUAUCAGCAAGGAAGAUAAUGACGGUACUUGACUAAGAAGCCCCGGCUAACUACGUGCCAGCAGCCGCGGUAAUACGUAGGGGGCAAGCGUUAUCCGGAUUUACUGGGUGUAAAGGGUGCGUAGGCGGCAUAACAAGUCAGUCGUUUAAUUUCGGAGCUUAACUCCGAAUCGGCGAUUGAAACUGUUGAGCUAGAGUACAGGAGAGGUAAGCGGAAUUACUAGUGUAGAGGUGGAAUUCGUAGAUAUUAGUAAGAACACCAAUGGCGAAGGCAGCUUACUGGCCUGCAACAGACGCUGAGGCACAAAAGUGUGGGGAGCAAACAGGAUUAGAUACCCUGGUA
rnacentral:rRNA from 1 species